UGAUAUGUGACACACAGCAGUGUAUUUAUUUUAUACCUUCGGAUCCUUUAGAAGCACUUCUGUUAAAUUUGUUCAGCUAUGUUUUGGUUUAGGGUAUUUGGAAUAGCUUAUGGGUUCCAUGUAUCUUGUGCUGUUACACUUUCUUUCAGAUCUGUUUACACAACUGGUUUAAACAGCAGUGAUUUCCCAAUAUUCAUAUUGGAAGAAUUCAUAGAUGACAUAGAGAUUUACUAUUAUAACUCCAAUACUACGAUAUGGAUCCGUCAAUACGAGUGGCUAAAAAAUGUUGAGAGUCCAAGUUUCUUAUCAACCCAGAAGGAGAUUUCAGAUUAUCUACUGAAUGCCAGUGCUACUAAUAUCAAGCCCUUAAUGAACAUUUUAAAUCAAAUAUCUGGAGUUCACACUCUCCAGGGAUUGUUUGGUUGUGAUUUGACUGGAGGUUUGUUUGCUAUAGUAGGGUAUGAUGGAGAGGACCUGAUCAUUCUGAAUAUGACCACCCUGGAAUGUAUCAUUGCACAAGAACAGGCAAGCCUUCUUCUACACAACUGUGUUAUUUCAAAAGUUUUUGUGCAGAUUUUUCAAACUUUAUGCUCUGGCUGGCUAAGUGAAUUUGUUUUCUAUGGAGGAGAAACCCUGAAUAGGCAAGUUCAACCCAGCGUAUUUCUCCUCCAGAAAACCAUUCCUGAAUUAUUAGAAACAGAGGUCACUUGUUUUGUCACCGGAUUCUACCCUCAACUUAUUGAUGUAGAGUGGGUCAGAGAUGGAGGACAAGCUGUACAAGCAUUGAGUGGUGAUGUUUUAUUGAACGAUGAUAACACCUACCAGGUCAGGAAGGUACUAAAUGUGAGUUUCAUGGAUGCUGAAAAAUAUGGCUACUCCUGCCAGGUGAAUCAUUCCAGCCUUCCAAGAAAACUCAUUGUCCCUUGGAAUUACAAAGGUUCUUCUACUGGAAUCAUAGUCGGAGUCGUAGUUGCUGCUGUGGUGAUAAUAGCCAUCAUCAUAACUGGAUUGGUCUAUUGGAUGAAAAGACAAAGAGGACUCACAAAUGGAGGAGGAAAUAGAGUUUCAUAUGUGAGAGAUUUAACCUGAAAGUUUAUCAAUGAAAAAUAUUGUUCUAUGAAUUGAAUUGGUAAGUCUUUUUUAUAAAAGUAUAAAUAUGUGCAUCUGAGGUGUGGUCAUUCCAUUCAAGGAUGGUUCCUACCUGAUACCUGAUGCUACCAGGAUUGGCUUUGGUUUUCCUCCAUCCUAGUAUUGGAAAAGAUGUUUGGAAAAUGAUCAGAGUAGUGGAUAUACUUCAGUGACAUCUGCUUUGAAUGUUUUUCAGAUAUUCCAAAUCUGAAUAAAUCUAUUCAUCAA